rnacentral:lncRNA from 1 species
UUUUUUUUUUUUUUAGCUCUAUGAGCAGCUAUCCAGAGAAGAUUUUCUGAUGCAUUUGUCACUAGGAGUUGCCAGGUCAUGGAACGUGAGAACCCAGGGGAGGAAGUGGAGCCAGCCUCUCUGCUCACUCCUACUGGGUCAUUGGGAGGCAACUGGCCAGAACGGAGGGAGAGAGAGAAUGUUUCUUUGCCUUUUUUUUUUUUUUUUUUAGCCUAUCUGACCUUUUAAAGGGACUUGUGCCCUGCUGCCUUCCUCUCAGAAACUGCAUGCAGGUUUGAAUGAAGGCAGGGAGGGGGAUGGGGGAACAUGGACCAUUAGGGAGGUAUCCAGCUCACUGCUUCCAGGCUAGGUUGGUCCCCAGAUCUCUGUCGGGGUCCAGGCUCAGGCCAUUCCAUCACCUUAGAUACCAGGGGUGUGUCCGAGGUGAUGGAAUGUUGCUGAAAACCUGUAUAUUUCAUCUGCCUCAGGCCCCUGAGUCUCUGAGAUCUGAGGGUCUCUGAUGGGUGGGCUCACCUCUCAUUCUUACACCAGUUCUGGAAGGCAGGAAAGGGCAGGCAGAGGGGGUUCCUCUUUUUGGAAUGAACCCCCCUACUCCCACUAGCUCCAGAGAGGACAAGUGACUUGUCCAAAGUGACCCAGCAAGUCAGAGACAGAGUCCUAGUCAAUCAAAUGAUCUGACUUCAAUCCCAAAUAGAGGGAUUGCAUUUGCUCUCUGGUUGGGAGGAAGGCGUUUCUUGGGGGGCAGGAUACUCCUGUUGUCCUAUUCAUUGUCACCUGCCGAGACUGAGCAGAACCUGCUCUGCCCCCUCAAACCUGGGUAUGUCCAAAGAGCAGAUGGUGGGGAAAGAGCAGAGUGGGGAAAGAGGGAGGGAGAGGCCAGGACAGGGGGAGGCUGAAAGCGAGGAAAGGGCUUGGGGACAAAGGGAGCUGGAGAAUGAGCAAACGAAGUCUUGGAAAACUACUUGUGUCCCCUUCCCGGCCUCCCUGCCUGCCUUCUCCACUGGAGACAGUCAUUUAGAAUAAUGAGUCAUAAUUUGAUUACAUUAUCUUCCAGCCUCGCAAGGUAAACAAGGAUCUCUCCUGGAAGGAAGGAACGGGGUGGCCCAGGCUUCUGGCAGACUCCGUGGGCCUGGCCUGGGGUUUUCCCCUCCUAAAGUUGUCCCUCUCUUCUUGAGUGUGCUUGAAACACACGUCUGGGUGGCUUCAGCCCCUGUGUUCCACUAACAUUUACAUUCUCUUUGUGUCUUCUGUCCGACCCCUUGGUCCC